rnacentral:lncRNA from 1 species
CUUCACCUCCAUGACCUAAUCAUCUUCCAAAGGCUCUACCACAUAAUAUCAUCCCAUUGAGGGGUGUUAGGAUUUCAUCAUGUGAAUUUUGAGGGGGAACACAACAUUCAGUUCAUAACAGAGGAAUUAUCAGGGACCUGAGCUCUCAAGGACAUGCAGUGGGACAGAUGGUAGGAAGGGUAAAAGGAUGGAGAACUGGAGAGCUAAGGAAUGCUGGAGAAGCCCACUUGCUCCAGCAUUUUGUUUAGAAUUUCUCUAAUACUUCUAUCAUGUAAGUGUUACUUACUUUAUAGGCUUGUCAAACAGACCACGAGGCAUUCCUCGUUGACCUGGAUAGAGUGAAGAAUACAGAAUUUCUAUACAAAGGAUGCCUUAAAGGAAUUGAUGACAGCAUGGGCACCUGAAAAUUAUUAUAUGAUAAUUUGGAAAUUAUUCUACUAUAAUUUGGAGAUUAUUCCAUUGCAGUGCAAUACAGUGGAGUAAUUUCCAAAUGCUCACAUCAAAAUAUGAGGUAUAUGAUAGAGAUAGGAGAAGCCCUCCUUAGUCUCCUCUUGGCACUGGCACCAAAUCCAGAAUUCCUUUUCUGUAGCCACCUACUUGAGUCUCAGAGAGGGGGAGUUUCUUUGAAUCAAUGCAGCCACAUGGGCUGGGAUGAAGGAAGUGGAUUUUCUGGAAAUGUAUUGUGUGCUGUGGCUUGGUGGGGAAGGACACAAUGAGAACAAAUGAUUCAUCAACAGAUUUCAGACACUUUGAUCCUUCUCAGAAAACCCGAAAAGAAAAUGUAACAAACAAAAGGGAAAAUGAGAGGCAGAGAGUGCACAAGGAAAUCAGGCCUUCUGUUCCAGAAAGCUAAAGGUCUUUAAUAAGAAAUGGGGAAAAUGGAUGAAAAUGGGGAUGAAUCAUCUUAAAUGGCAUCCCAAGGAAAUUGAUUUGAAGUUUCACAGAGGAAAUGGGCCCCAUGAAAUGACUACAAUAAAGACUUUGGCAUAAUAAAUGUUUUUUCUUCGUGUGGGUGUGCACAUGUAUUUUGAGCUCUUAUAGCAGCAUGAUUUAUAAUCCUUUGGGUAUAUACCCAGUAAUGGGAUGGCUUCUUCCGAUCACUCUUUAGGAAGACAGGGAUUAGUUUCUACAUAUCACAGAGCAAUCACUCUGGGGUACUUAUCAAAGUGCUCUAUCAAAUUAGCUUUCCAUCAAAGUUCAAAACAAACUCUUCAUUGCAAUAUGACAUACAUACAGAAAAAUGCAUACAUUGCCCACAAACAGCUCCAUGAAUUUUCACAAAAUAAAAACACCAAGAUAACUUCUGCUCAGAUAAGAAAACAGAGAACUAACAACAUCUAGAGUUCCCCUUGAUCCUCUCCCAAGUCAUGGCCACUUCCUGCUUCCUAUUUUUAAAAAUCUCCAGCAAAACAUUACCAGCACUUCGGAAAGUCCUUGUACUCCUUCUUUGUUUCUAACCCCUACCAGGGUAACCAGCAUCCCUACUCCUCACUGCACAGCUUAGCUGGGCCUAUUUUUGUACACUAUAUAAAUAGGAUCCCAUUUUUAAAAGUCUCCUGACUUUUAUCACCAUCAGGUAGUUUUACCUAAUUUUACACUUCAUAUACAUGGAAUCGUAAAGAAUAUGUGCUUCUUUGUCUGAUUUUUUUCAUCCAGCUUUAUAUUUGUGAAACUCUUCCAAGUGGUUGCAUGGAUCUGAGUUGGUGCAUUUUUGAAAAUCUUAUUAGUCCCUUUUACGAGUAUCCUACAAUUUAUUCACUCAUUCUCCUGUGAUGAACAUUAGAUGUUUCCAGAUUUGGCCUAUCGUGAAUAGUAUUUCUAUCAACAUGUUUAUGUAUGCCUCUUGAGGCACGAAUGCACAUUUCUAUCCCCAGUAGUGGAGUUGCUGGAUCAUAAGGCACAUCAUAAGGUAUAUUCAGCUUUAUUAGAAAUGCCAAACGGAUUUGCAAACUGAUUGCACCAGUUUACACCCCCAUCAGCACUGUGUGAGAGGUUUAACUGCUUCAUGUUUGCACCAGAAUGUUUUACUGUUUGCCAUUUCAAGUGUAGCUAUUCCAACUGUGUGUCUCAUU